rnacentral:rRNA from 1 species
AUUGAACGCUGGCGGCAGGCCUAACACAUGCAAGUCGAGCGGCAGCACGGGUACUUGUACCUGGUGGCGAGCGGCGGACGGGUGAGUAAUGCCUAGGAAUCUGCCUGGUAGUGGGGGAUAACGUCCGGAAACGGGCGCUAAUACCGCAUACGUCCUACGGGAGAAAGUGGGGGAUCUUCGGACCUCACGCUAUUAGAUGAGCCUAGGUCGGAUUAGCUAGUUGGUGAGGUAAUGGCUCACCAAGGCGACGAUCCGUAACUGGUCUGAGAGGAUUAUCAGUCACACUGGAACUGAGACACGGUCCAGACUCCUACGGGAGGCAGCAGUGGGGAAUAUUGGACAAUGGGCGAAAGCCUGAUCCAGCCAUGCCGCGUGUGUGAAGAAGGUCUUCGGAUUGUAAAGCACUUUAAGUUGGGAGGAAGGGCAGUUACCUAAUACGUGAUUGUCUUGACGUUACCGACAGAAUAAGCACCGGCUAACUCUGUGCCAGCCGCCGCCGUAA